AUUUCCAUCAGUUACAGUGCGAGGUGGCUCCCCCUUCACUGUUUGGUUGCUCUUGGUGAGCUAGAGCUGAAAUUCCCAGUGGAAGUUGAGUGUAAGUCCCGGUGGGAAGGUGAAUGCAGGAAAUCUUCCCUGGAAAUAAGAUAAAAGCCCAUGGAAGAUGGCUUUCCCUGCUCUGUUUUGUUAUCUUCGGGUCCCAGAUACAAAUGUGAAGAGAAUGGGCACGUUUCCUGGUGGGUCCUGGGUUCUACAGACCUUCAGGACAUUGCCUGAGAGCCAUAUAAGCUGGAAGGGCAAAGGAGCGUGGCUCGAAAAGGGAGAAAUGUGCAGCAUAAGCACCAGGAACAAACUCAGAAGCAGACAGGAAGGAGCCCCCAGGCUGAAGCUGACCCUGAUGGGGUCCCAUUAGGUUGCCC
rnacentral:lncRNA from 1 species